UAAGCGAAGAGUGAAAUUGUGUGGCUCAACCAUACACCCAUUAUUCGAACUGCUCAGCUUGAGAGUGAGAGAGGUUACUGGAAUUCCCUGUGUAGGAGUGAAAUCCGUAGAUAUAGGGAGGAACACCAAUGGCGUAGGCAGGUAACUGGCUCAUCUCUGACACUAAGGCACGAAAGCGUGGGAGCAAACGGGAUUAGAUACCCCGGUAGUCCACGCCGUAAACUAUGGAUGCUA
rnacentral:rRNA from 1 species